GUUUGCCUAGGGUAUAGCGACUCUUCCUCUCCCAAAAUCCUUUUUGGACGAUAUCUUCCCCAUUGAAGGAAUUCGAAUUUUCUGCGAUGAAAGAGACAUUAACACCUUGGAGAAGUCCUAAGAUUCAAAAACCUCAUUCAACUGAGAGUUCAAGCUCAAUUCAAUCAGUCAUUGUUGUUAAUACAGGUCAGGAAACCCCUGUUAUGAAAAGAAGAAAACAAGGUCUAAGUAACAUUAGUCCUGUUGAUGUUGGUUAUAGUACUUCUCCGCCGUUUGGCACUGAGUUGAAUGCAAAUAUCCCGUCAUUCAAUUUAGGAAUUUCUCAAGAAGACCCCGCCCCUGUCAAACCUACAGAUAACUUAGAACUUGACCUAGUAAAGAGCAGUGAUAUCAAACCUCCAGAUAAAUUGCAACCUAUUGCAACCUGACACAGAGAACAACACUGAAGCUAAACGUCAGCCGAAAAGAAAAUCAUUUGCGAAAAAGCGUGUUGAAUUUGCACAUUUGAACUCUAAAAAGAGAAAAAUAGAUAUUAACAUAAAACAAAAAGAAAUCGUUGAUGAUGACGACAAUGAUUUUGUGGAUGAGGUAUCUAUUCGAAGGUCAACGUCUAAGGUUAAAUCUGGCAAGAAGAAACAUAGGAGGAACCGACUUUCAAAAAAUGACACCACUAUGAAUGACUUUGACAAGAAUCAAAAAUUUUGAAAGUUGGCUUCUGAAAAUUAUUCAACUGGACACUGGAAGGCGUAUACAAACUAUGAGGUGAUUGAUGUAAUCAAAGCUAAGUUGUCUCCUGCCCAGUUUGAAUUUUUUAGAAGAACAUGUUUUGAAUAUUUUAUUGAUCUUUCGAAAGUCAACACGCAAUUGCAACUUGUUCACUAUUUAAUGAACAUAGAGUUAAAUCUAACCCCAAAUGAUGUUUUUGCUAUUGAAGUAAAUGGAGAGAAGCUGUUUUUUGACUUAAGAGAAUUUGAUAUUGGUUCUGGCUUAAGAUAUGUUGGUGAUAGCGACAUUUCGUAUGAUCCCGAAGGUCCAUCAGAGCUCAUGAUGACGUACUUUGCAAGAGAAGAAGCUAUUGAAAAAAAGAUGUUAGAAACAUUUUUCACAAUAUCGUGUGGUGUGAUAAUCCUGAUACUGUUAAAUUUGUUAUUUUGUAUUUUAUUGAGGAGUUUUUAUUCUCUUAUGAGACUAGCGAGUGGACAGUUCCUAAGAAACACUUUUAUUUGGUUGAGUCUGAUGUUUUUAAUGAAUAUCCAUGGGGCGUUGAUGUAUUUCAAGAGUUGUUGGAUAGUGUCAGGCAUGUCCUUAAGACUAUUACCCAAUACUACAAGAUAGCUGAUUUGCCCCUAAUUGGAGAAGCUCAUGUUCACUAUGAAAAAAUGCAAGUACACAAAUAUUUCUGCGUCUGAUGAAGAGCUUUCAAAGUUAAUAUUUUUGGAUCAAAGGAAUUACAAUUUAGAAGUGUUGACUAUUAUUAAUGGAAAUUCAGCAAAUGGUUUCACUCAUGCUCAAGAAGAAUUGAUUAAAGAGUUGAGGGAAUUAAAAAUGCAGCUUCUGAAGGUGAUGUGGAAGAUAGUGGUAAAGCAGGUGAAGAUGUUGUUGGAGUUGAUACAUUAGACCUGCCCAAAAGUGAAGAUCCUGAUUUGGAAGACCAAGGUAAAGGAGAUAGAUGCAUAUCUCAAUAUACAUACCUGUUUAAUACAUUUCAUUUAUAUGCUUAUGUGACUAUUAUUUUUAAUAACUUUAGAUGAUAUUAUUGUCAAUUUGCCUGAUUGUGGUUGUGAGACAACAAUUGAAAGGAAAUCAAUUUUCAACAUUUGAUGACUUUGAAUUUUCUGAUAACUUGACUCAGUUAUUAAGUGAGGCAAAUAAAUAAAAAGAAGUGACACCUGAAAAUCUCACUAGAACGAAAAAUUCAGGGAAGCUUGUUAAGUCCCCGUAUUUACAAAAGUUUGACUCUAGUGCUGCUGUUUCUGUGCCAAGUCAAGUUUUUCAGAUAAAGCACCCUUUUGCUACUGAAAUUGGUGUAGAAGUUGACACUACUCUGAUGAAUUAAUUCACAUCUUGGCUAAGUGAAGGACUUUCAAA